ensembl:lncRNA
GUCAUAUAAUUAGAAUAUCAUCAAAAAGUUGAUUUAUUUCCAUUAAGUCCAUUUAAUGUUUAUUACUGAGACGUGGAUUGCAAUUGGGGACAUGAGUCCUUUUUCUGAACUCAUACCGCGAGACUGUAAGUUUUUUAAUACCCCUCGUUCAUCAGGUCGAGGGGGAGGACUGGUUUCUAUAUUUAAAGAGAAGUUUAAUUGCAGAUUAAUCUCAACGGAAGAAUACCAAACAUUUGAACGACAACUGUUGAUACUAGACAUUGGUAGUCCUGUUGCCGUUGUUGUUAUUUACAGGCCUCCAAAAGCACAGAAAGAUUUUAUUAAUGAAUUUGGGGAUUUUCUAGGAGGUUUGUUCUCAAAUUUUGAUAAAUUGUUAAUUUUAGGCGAUUUUAAUAUACAUGUCUGCUGUCCAGAAAAUGUGAUGUCGAAAGACUUUUUAAACUUGAUGGAUUCUUUUGAUCUAACCCAAUUAGUAAAUGGCCCAACUCAUAUUUAUGGCCAUACAUUAGAUCUGGUAUUGACACAUGGCCUCUUUAUUGAAGAUUUAGAAUUAUAUGACCAUGUUAUAUCGGAUCACAAACCCAUCUUGUUUAAUAUCUCUGUCUCAUGUUGUCCUGUUAAUCCUGUGAAGUCUUUGCAAAGCUGUCACAGUUUUUCAGCAACAACUGGUACAGAAUUUAGUACAAAUUUUAAUGAGGUGUGUAAGAUAUCUGAAUCUGCUCUACAUGAUAUGGGUGUGGAAGAGCACUUGUAUUGGUUGUAUUCAACCUGUAAAGAUGUGUUGGAUGCAGUAGCUCCUCAAAAUACUAAACAGCGUAAAGUUAGGUCUGAUCCGUGGUUAAAUAAUGAGAUAAGAGGUCUUAGACGAAUUUGUAGGCAGGCAGAGAGAAAAUGGAAGAAAUAUAAGUUACAAGUUUAUUAUGACAUUUUUAAGGAAGCACAGAAAAAAUUUCAGAGCACUAUAAAAUCAGCCAAAUCAAGGUAUUUCGUGGAGAAAAUAGAAAAGAACGCUAACAAUCCUAGAACGUUAUUUAAUAUAAUAAAUACAGUUAUAAAUCCUCCUACAUUAAUUCUAGAUCCGUCUCCAUCGAUGUGUGAGAAUUUUCUAGAUUCUUUUAUAAUUAAGAUUGAGAAUCUUAGAAGAAUUAUCCCACAAAUGAGUGGUGACUCUUUG